UGCAUAUCAAUAAGCGGAGGAAAAGAAACUAACAAGGAUUCCCCUAGUAACUGCGAGUGAAGCGGGAAAAGCUCAAAUUUAAAAUCUGAUGGUCCUUUGUGGCUAUCCGAGUUGUAAUCUAGAGAAGUGCUAUCCGCGCUGGACCGUGUACAAGUCUCCUGGAACGGAGCGUCAUAGAGGGUGAGAAUCCCGUCUUUGACACGGACUACCAGGGCUUAUGUGAUGCGCUCUCAAAGAGUCGAGUUGUUUGGGAAUGCAGCUCUAAAUGGGUGGUAAAUUCCAUCUAAAGCUAAAUAUUGGCGAGAGACCGAUAGCGAACAAGUACCGUGAGGGAAAGAUGAAAAGAACUUUGGAAAGAGAGUUAAACAGUACGUGAAAUUGUUGAAAGGGAAACGCUUGAAGUCAGUCACGUUGGCCAGGGAUCAACCUUGCUUUUGCUUGGCGUAUUUUCUGGUUAACGGGUCAGCAUCAAUUUUGAUCGGUGGAUAAAGGUCAGGGGAAUGUGGCAUCUUCGGAUGUGUUAUAGCCCCUGGUUGCAUACAUCGGUUGGGAUUGAGGAACUCAGCAUGCCGCAAGGUCGGGUUUUUAACCACGUACGUGCUUAGGAUGCUGGCAUAAUGGCUUUAAUCGACCCGUCUUGAAACACGGACCA
rnacentral:rRNA from 1 species